UUGGUUCCAUGUGUGCUUGUU
rnacentral:siRNA from 1 species